GUGAUGCUGUGAGGGAGGAAUGCGAGAGAGAUAUAGAUAUUGUUGCGUCAAAAAACAGAACACUCAAAACAUGAGCACAAUGUCAAUGCUCUUCCUUUAAAGAACUCCAGGCCUCAAGAGGGCAGAUAACCCAAAAACACGGGUGGAACUAAAAAAUUGAGCCAGGAUUUCUGGAGGGACUACUUUUACAUGCGCACCUGGCAGAUAAGCAUGGGAAUAAAAUGUUUGGUCCUCAACAUACACACAGCUCAUUGUUCAACCCUAAAGACGCAACUGGUUAUCAACCUAUUCCCUAUUCCUCUGUCAUUCAACUACUCUAUUCAACAAAUCAACUGUUUCAACAUAUUCAGCAAAUGGCAUCAAAACCAUAAUAAAACACUGGAAAGGAAUUGAGUUGUCCCUUUGCAUCCUUCACGGGUUGAGCAAGCCGUUUUCAAGCAUGUUCAAUUGUAGAAAUUAAUGAUAGCAUAAAUGUAAAUGAAUGCCUUUGCAUUUGUAGCAUGAAGUGAGUUGAUGACUUCGUGUUUGUGGGGUGGAUAUGAAUUUUGAC